CGCGGGGUGGAGCAGCCUGGUAGCUCGCAAGGCUCAUAACCUUGAGGUCGGCCGUUCAAAUCGGCCCCCCGCUACCA
rnacentral:tRNA from 1 species